AUUGAACGCUGGCGGCAGGCCUAACACAUGCAAGUCGAGCGGCAGCGGGAAAGUAGCUUGCUACUUUUGCCGGCGAGCGGCGGACGGGUGAGUAAUGCCUGGGAAAUUGCCCAGUCGAGGGGGAUAACAGUUGGAAACGACUGCUAAUACCGCAUACGCCCUACGGGGGAAAGCAGGGGACCUUCGGGCCUUGCGCGCUUGGAUAUGCCCAGGUGGGAUUAGCUAGUUGGUGAGGUAAUGGCUCACCAAGGCGACGAUCCCUAGCUGGUCUGAGAGGAUGAUCAGCCACACUGGAACUGAGACACGGUCCAGACUCCUACGGGAGGCAGCAGUGGGGAAUAUUGCACAAUGGGGGAAACCCUGAUGCAGCCAUGCUGCGUGUGUGAAGAAGGCCUUCGGGUUGUAAAGCACUUUCAGCGAGGAGGAAAGGUUGAUGCCUAAUACGUAUCAACUGUGACGUUACUCGCAGAAGAAGCACCGGCUAACUCCGUGCCAGCCGCCGCGGUAACAC
rnacentral:rRNA from 1 species